UUGGGAGCUCUCCCAUAUGGUCGACCUCAGGCGGCCGCGAAUUCACUAGUGAUUAGAGUUUGAUCAUGGCUCAGAUUGAACGCUAGCGGCAGGCCUAACACAUGCAAGUCGAGCGGUAGAGAGAAGCUUGCUUCUCUUGAGAGCGGCGGACGGGUGAGUAAUGCCUAGGAAUCUGCCUGGUAGUGGGGGAUAACGUUCGGAAACGGACGCUAAUACCGCAUACGUCCUACGGGAGAAAGCAGGGGACCUUCGGGCCUUGCGCUAUCAGAUGAGCCUAGGUCGGAUUAGCUAGUUGGUGGGGUAAUGGCUCACCAAGGCGACGAUCCGUAACUGGUCUGAGAGGAUGAUCAGUCACACUGGAACUGAGACACGGUCCAGACUCCUACGGGAGGCAGCAGUGGGGAAUAUUGGACAAUGGGCGAAAGCCUGAUCCAGCCAUGCCGCGUGUGUGAAGAAGGUCUUCGGAUUGUAAAGCACUUUAAGUUGGGAGGAAGGGCAGUAAAUUAAUACUUUGCUGUUUUGACGUUACCGACAGAAUAAGCACCGGCUAACUCUGUGCCAGCAGCCGCGGUAAUACAAUCGAAUUCCCGCGGCC
rnacentral:rRNA from 1 species